rnacentral:misc_RNA from 1 species
GAAAAAGCCACAAAGUUGCUGCAAUAGGCUGAUAUGCAAAACAAUUAAUUUCUUUUAAAAUGAAAAGAAAGAAAAUAAUAUAAAAAAGAAAAGAAGCCAGGAACGGAAGAACCACAGAGAAAAAAACAAUACUUAAAUAUAAAUAAUUUAAGAUCAUCUGAGUAAGGCAAUGAAUGUUGCUUAAUGUCAUUGGGCAAUUGAAUAUUAUGAAUCUGGAAAUGAAAUUAAUUUAUAUUGAAAUGGGGUUUUGUUUGGGAGUGAAUGGUGGGUCUCUGGGAUAAUUAACAAUACAGAAUUAUGAUAUCCUAAUAUAUUAAUAUAUACAUCAAAAUGGAAAAUAAGGGUUGGCUACCGGUCCUUUUCAUACUGAGGUGGUGAUUACCGAAACAAAAUAAGAGCAGCAAUCAGAAGCAUUAAUUUUUUCCAUUCCUUCUUGAUGCUUUGUAGCUAUCCUCUAUCCUUUUUUGUCUUUUGGUUGCUAUCAUAAAAUAAAGAGAUGUUGUUUUCAAUGGAGAGAGAGAGAUCCAAGUGAUUGACUGCUGAUCGAUGCAUAUACAAAUACAAAGAAAACCCAGGACCCAAAAAUCAGGAUCGAAGGGAUUCAAGACAUAGAUAAAUAGUUUGAAGAAGCAGCACCUGAAACUGCAAGUGUUAAAUGCAUAAUUCAGAGACGCUGACGCACGUGUGCAUCACAGCAGAAAACCAAAAUUUGGCCAAUGCAGGGGGAGCCCAGAAAAUCAAGAAAGCCAGGGCCAGAGACUUAUAUUGGCUAGAAUUAAUGUGGCCCUUCUUGCCAACAAGCCCUGCAACUUUCACCCUUGGAAUUUUUAUGCUAUGAACCAAAUCAUUAGCAAACAGUAGUGCAAGAAAACAACACAAAAAAUAGCUAGAGAGGAACCAAUAUGUAGACAUAGCAGCUAAUACAGUCUACAAGAAUCACAGGAUAGUCUAAAUUAAUAUAAUCUUUAAACUAAUGUAAUAAUUUCAUUAAUUUAAGAAAAUAUUAGUCAAUUCAAUCAGCAACCUGUAGCAAUAAUAUUUAGUGGAGAUAUCACAGAAAAGGAAUGGGUAAUGGGUAAUGAAUUUAAUACUCACGUAUGAUUGUUACUAUAGUUUUACCAAGUCAAUAAACACCAAAGAAGCAGAACCUGAAAGCUAGAAAAUCUUGGCAUUAGGUAUCAGUUUCCUUAGUGGCAUGCAUAUAUUGAAAAUAGUUUUUAGUUUUCUUGCAGCUGAAGAAGAAGGGAGAUAAUAUAUAUGAACAACUUAUGCAUAUGCUAGAAAAGAUUGAAGCUUCUCAAUUCUAAUCUUCUCCAUCCUUCUCCUCUUACGUUUUCUUUGUAUUAUUAUAUAGCAAACUUUUCUUAUACUCAAGGUAGUUGCUGUCGUAAGAUCAAGAAGAACAAGAGAGGAGCACUAAUUUCUAACUAGAUUUCUAGCUAAAUUUUGUUAAUUGUUCGAACCCAAUUCUAAAGAGAAACUUCAGAUUAUAUGUGUAUAAAUAUAAUCACAAUUAAGACAUAUUAGAAUGAGGAGAUUAUAAAGUAAAAAACUAUACGGCUGUCGUAGUAGUAGCAGCAGCGGGAGCAGUACUCGCAGCAAUAACAGUGCUAGUUUCCCCACCAAUGUUACCAGACCCAUCUCCACCGCCGCCGCCGCUGGAAGAACCAUCACCGAUUUCAACACCUUGGCUGACUGAUACCGAAAUAUUGGCCGGAACAGCUGCCGCAGUAACCGCAGCAGGCCGUUUCCGUUUCUUCUUCUCGUAGGGUAUCCCUCUGGCUUUGGCUUGUCCUUCUCUGACUUCCCUCAGAUAAAUCCUCACCGCUUUCGCUCCAAAAGGAUUAGAUUCUGGUUUUCCACCAUUCUCUUCGUAGGCCGCUCUGAGCCGACCGAUUAGCGCGUCGAGACUACCCCACGCCUGCUUGAGAGGGCAAGCACAGGGUGCGGGGGGACUCGGAUGCCCAAAAUACGGACAACCCGUUAUGUGGACCUUGGUCUUGCCAAAUUGAUCCAAAUAUUUCAAGAACUCGAUCACAUGUGCACCACUGCAGCGAGCCAGAGUUAAUGGUGGCCUGUGGUUCUUUAAGUACUGUAAAAAAGUGUUCCAGUCUCGUCUCUUCUGUGACUCAUACCGGCUCAGCGGAGCUUGAAAUGAUCCCUCUGCUUGUCCUUGCGAUGAUGACGAUGCUCCUGUUGCUGCUGGUGAUGCACUCGGUUCCCCACUAUUCGGGUCGGGUGCUCCCGUCCCUCCUGAUGCAGAGUCCAUGAGAAGCAAAUAUGCUAUCGUUAACAAGGUGAUGAACGAUCGGCUGCAAUUUUACCUAUUUUCUUAUUGUCUUGAGCUCCCUUUUUUAGAACUGUUCGGUAGAUUCAAUGCUCCUUCUUCUUCUGCAAAGUUCAAAGUUGAAGAAGCUAUCUGGGUUCUAGUUAAUUUCGAUAGAUCUUUUCACGGGCAGGAGAUUGUGUUUUGCCUUUCAUGACUUUCAGGAAGAUAAGGAAGAAGAAAGGGGAGAGAGAGAGAAAAGAUUGGUGAUGGGACGCUAAAAGAGAAGAGUGGAUGAAUGAGGACUCUCCAGCGAGAGAGAAAGAAAAAAAAAAUUGCAGAGAGAGAAAAGGGAAUAGUUAAGGUGGCGGUGGUGGAGUGGAGAAGUUUUUCACAAUUUC